AAAAGGGAACUCGAAGUGUUUACUCUUUCCCAAGCGGAUCUUUACAGGGACUUGUACCCCUUUUCCAAUUGAAUAGCUUCAGAAAACAAGAGAAGCUUUCUGGCCAUGGAGAUGAGAAGUCUGCUAGGAUCCUACUGAUGGCUAAGCUGAAGCAGUUGAUUGAGGCAAAUCCACUCAUCGGUGAUAAGCUUCAGUUUCAUACCUUACAGAUGUCAAGACCAGAAACAGUAGUCAAACUGAGAGCUUAUAUUGGCAGAUUCAGCAAUGCGAUCUGAAGGAUCUAAUCAUAAACUGCCCAAGAAUCUUCUAUAUGAGGACCCUUACUGUGAUCAAGCAACUGACACCAUCCCCUGUACCUCAUGGAGUUGGAGAGGGAAUCAAGGCUUUUCUUUGAUAUCAAGUAUUUCGAAGAAUGUGUGAGCAAUGGAGACUGGGAGGAUUUGGAAAAGUACUUAUUACGGUUCACAAAUGCAUAGGAUAACCCUAUAUCCUUUAGCAUUUUCUUUGAGAUCAGAAUGUAGACUUAUUAUGAAGCACAUGACAAGAGUGAUCGUAAAAUGAUGUUGGACAUUCUUAAAAGGGACCUCGAAGUGUUUACUACAGGAGACUUGUACGCCUUUUCCAAUUGAACAGCGUCAGAAAGCAAGAGAAGCUUUCUGUCCAUAGAGAUAAGAAGUCAGCCAGGAUCCUACUGAUGGCUAAACUAAAGCAGUUGACUGUGGCAAAUCCACUCAUUGGUGACAAGCUUCAGUUCCCUACCUUGCAGAAGCCGAGACUAGAAACACUAGUCAAACUGAGGUGAACAGGUUAAGUUGGCAGAUUCAGCAAUGCGAUAAUGAAGGAUCUAAUCAUAAACUGUACGAGAAUCUUCCAUAUGAGGACCCUUACUGUGAUCAAGCAACUGACACCAUCCCCUGUAGCUCAUGGAGGUUGGAGAGGGAAUCAAGGCUUUUCUUUAAUAUCAAGUAUUUCUAAGAAUGUGUGAGCAAUGGAGACUGGGAGGAGGUGGGGAAGUACUUAUCACGGUUCACAAAUGCAGAGGAUAACCCGGAAUCCUUUAGCAUUUUCUUUGAGAUCAGAAGGCAGAAUUAUUAUGAAGCACAUGACAAAUUAUGGUGAUUCUGUUCAUAGUAUGGAUGAGUUGCAAUUGGUGACUCUGCAUUGGAAGUGAAGCUUCUUAGAAUGCUAUGCCUAGAAGAAUGCCUUUAAUUGCCCCCUAUAAACUGAGGCAAAAUGUGAUACUUGAAUUUGAAACUGAGGCAAGCAAGGUGUUCUGGGGUCAAAAUAAGGCAUUCCGGAUGCAGGG